UACAGAGGGUGCAAGCGUUAAUCGGAGUUACUGGGCGUAAAGGGCGCGUAGGUGGUUCGUUAAGUUGGAUGUGAAAUCCCCGGGCUCAACCUGGGAACUGCAUUCAAAACUGACGAGCUAGAGUAUGGUAGAGGGUGGUGGAAUUUCCUGUGUAGCGGUGAAAUGCGUAGAUAUUGUGAGGAACACCAGUUGCGAAGGCGGCUUUCUGGACUGUUACUGACGCUGAGGUGCGAAAGCGUGGGGAGCAAACGGG
rnacentral:rRNA from 1 species